ACUUCUGAGCUAUGUCUGACCAUAAAAACACAUGAAAAUAUUUACAAGGGGUAAAAUCUAUAUUUUUUUCAUCAUUAUUUAAUUCAGAAAUUGCAAAAGAGGUUUCUCAAAGUUUCCAGGAAGAAUAAUAAUCUUGGGCUGAAGUAAUGCAUAGAAUAAUUAAAUCCUAAAGGAAAAUAAUCAACAAAAUAUGGUCAUGGGCAGAGAGAAAUAAGGUAGUAGGAGUUGGAACACACAGACAGAUCCUAAGGUGAGCUGUUGUUUAACCUGGCAGGCAGCAAAGCACCAAACAGCCAUUUGCCCACACCCUCCAAAGUGGAAUGAGGGAGAGAAUUGGAAACCAAAUAGAACUCAUGGGCUGAGAUAAACUCCUUACUAUGUCUGGAAAGAAAAAUGGAAACAAAAAUGUGAGAAUAAUUAUCUAUCUAUCUAUAUCCAUAAUGCAAUUACUUGCUACCAGCUGACUGACACCCAGCCAACAUUACAACUGUUCGCUAACCAACAUCCAGCUAGCAGCCCAAGCACUCACCACCCUCUGACAGACACGUGAGCAGCAGCCAGCUUAGGUUUGCCUAGAGUAUUUCUCUCCUUCUCCACUCACACCAUUCCCACUUUCUCCUCCACUGCUUCUCCACAAUCUACUCCUGAGGCAGAUACAGGGCUGUGGGUACACUACAAGUUUGUUUUGCAUCUAGUGUGAAGAGUAUGGCUUCUUACUUAAUACCCUGCAUCUCUGCCUGCUACUGCCUAUCAGGUUCAUUUCCCUGAGGACAGCUGAAGUUGGAUUGUUUCCCAGGGCUGCAAAAUUGAGUUGUUCAGUUAUUUUUCACAACUCUACCCUCAUGGGUUCUGUUGACUUUGAGACAGCAGAAAACACUCUAAUGCUACAUCUCAAAUGAUGUCAAAUGGCCACACUGGUCUCAGAUCAAAGAGUCUUUUAAUGAUAUUCAAACAAUGGACCAAAUCAGCAAGAUGCGAGCAAUCCACACGUGCAAGUAAUAAAGAAUGCAUAUAGCUCCUCUCUGUUAGAAAUUGAAUCUUAACUGACGUAUUUUUGUGAAGUAGCAGAUCCAGCUCUAGAUCCCCACCAAGUGUAAAUCAUAAACUGCUGCCUCCCUGACUGUAUUACCCUUAAGUAAAUAGUUACAUCUUGCCAUUUCAAGAAAGAAUUGUUGCCAAUUGUUGCCCGGUAUUCCACCAACAUACUUAGCCCCUCUAAUGUGCAAAAACAAACAGGACUAGCACACCAACCUUGAAAAAGUAUUUAUCUCUGCCACAGUUUCCAUCAACUUAAGUGAUUGUGAAAUACAACAAACAUGGAGGUCCUCUGCCUUACAAAGUUAAAUUCAGUUGAAUUAGAGUUUAUCCUAUUAAAAAAAAAUGGCUUGAAAGAUGACCAAAUGUGACAUCUGUCAGAGAACUGCUAGGUCACAGCCUGAACCAAUGAUUUGAGUACCUGGCGAAAGGGUGUAGCCAGCCUUGGGAGCCCAGGUGGAAGCUAUUCACCUGUGUGACCAGAAGGGGUCGACCCUGGCUCCACCUCUCCUUAACCUCAUUUAAGAGCUGGCAGCUUCAAGGGAAGCAUCUCUACUUAGAGACUGCUUCCUUUGGAGUGCUUGGACCUUUGCUCCUCGAAGGACUUAAUUCCAUUGCAGCUACCUAACCAUCCGAACAGUCUUCAAAGUAAUGGAAUCAGAUUCCUAAGGGAGAUUCAGUAAGGUAACAUGUCAACUGAAAAUGGAUUCGCAAAUAUAUGAAAAAAGGAUUUCAGCAAUCUUGAAACCUGUUCUUAAACUUCUGUAUCAAAAUGGAAAGGCUGAUUAUUUUUCACUGCCCAUAGUACUGUGUUUAGCCAAUGUAUCAAAAUGCAUAAAAUUUUUUGCCAUAACUUGAGUUAUCACUUAAGAAUCUACCCAGUAAGCACAGGGCAGGCAGCAGCCAGAGUAGUAGCUCACAUGGCACACAACACUGAUAUUCUGCCAGCUGCAGAAGUGAGGGGCACUCAUUCCAACUGACUUUUUUUUUUUUUUGCUGAGAUAAGACUGCAGCUCUGGCAUAGGGGUAUGCAACAUUCACAGAACCAUCCCAGACAUGACCAAUGCCUUCACUCAGACAGUUGCUGAAGGCAGAAGCAGCUGUGCAGACUCUGAUCUAUGGGAAGUGCCUGGGCCUUGUUCCUGGAGCAGAGGUGGGAGGUAAACUCAUAUGCAUUAGAUGUACCCAGAUGGAGGACCUCCUGCAACAGGUGACUGUGCUGUAGGAGACAGUCAAAAGGCUGUGUACUAUCUGGGAGGCAGAAAUGGAGAUAGGCAGCUGGACUCACAUGCAACCUGCAUGUGAAUCCACAGUCUGGAGCCAAACAGCCCCAGACUCCUCUAGUGACACAUCCAGUUAGAAGGGAAGCCAAGAAAGCUGAGAAAUGGCGAAGUGCCAGAACAAAAACUAACAUGACAAAGACGCCUGCUUCAAAGCCUGAGAAGCCUCUGCAGAACCAGGAAAAAGAGGAAAAAGAAACUCUAAUGAGUAAGUCCUCCAAACUGAGUAAGGCAGCCAGACCAGCUCCUGCUUGCAUAGCACCUACUGCAACUAAGAAAAAGUGAUAGGUGAGAGUGGUGGCUGAUUCUCAGAGGAACAGAGGCACCCGUCUGUGACCACAGUCCACUAUUUAGAGAGGUCUACUGCUGUCCAGGGGCCUGCAUCAAGGAUGUGACAGAGAGGUUGCUAGAUCUUAUAUGUCCCACUGACUACUACCUGCUGCUGCUGUUUUGCAUAGGCACUACUGACAUAGCUGUGAAUAACCUGAAUAAUACGAAGAGGGACUACAAGGAGCUGGGAGCAGCAGUGAAGGACUCGAGAAGGGGCAUGGGUAGUCUCUUCAUGAAUCUUCAUGAAACAGAAUUGAGAAAAUCAAUAAAUGGUUAAAGGAGUGGUGUCAUGAACAGGGCUUUGACUACUUAUGCCAUGAGACUAGCUUAGAUAAAUCUGGUAUUCAGAGGGAGAACAGGGUUCAUGUUUCAGAGAAGGGACAUAUUUGGCAACAAGCUUUCCAAUUUAGUCAGGAGGACUUUAAACUAGAGUUGCCAAGGGAGAGUAUCCUCAACCCAUCCUACUUUGAGACUGAUGACGGUAAUGGUUGCCCUAGGCCUGGAGUUGGAUCACAGGUCAGGAAGACAGCACCUAAAGCGCAGGACAAGGGAACUCCAAUUGGUAAAUCUACCUCAAUGAGAGCACAAUUCAAAUGCCUGUAUACUAAUGCACAGAGCAUGAGGAACAAGCAAGAAGAGUUACAGCUGUGCACAUACCUACAGGGCCAUGAUGUCGUCUGCAUUGCUGAGGUGUGGUGGGAUAGCUGUCACAACUGGAAUGUAGGAAUAGACGGGUAUAAACUCUUCAGGAAAGAGAGGCGGGGAGAAGGGGAGAUGGUGUUGCCCUCUACAUCAACAACCAGUUGGAGUCCACAGAGCUCCACCUGGAGAUGGGUGAGGAUCUGAUAGAGAGUUUAUGGAUUAGGAUUAAGGGAAAAGCAGGGGAAGGAGACAUUGUAGUGGGUGUCUGCUACUGGCCAUCUGAUCAAGAAGACUGAGUGGAUGAGGUCCUCUAGAAACAGAUAGGAGCAACUUCAUGCUCAAAAACAUGGUCCUCAUGGGGAUUUCAACCACCCCAGUAUCUGCUAGAAGGACAGCACAGCAGGGUGCUAGCAAUCAAAUAAGUUCCUGGAUUGCAUUGAUGAUAAUUUCCUCUUCCAAGUGGUACAGAAACUGUGAGAAAAGGUGCUAUGCUGGACCUUGU